GGUUAAACAGACCAAAAGCCUUCAAAGCUUUAAGUAGAAGUGGAAACCCUCUAAUUUCUGAUAAGAUUUG
rnacentral:tRNA from 1 species